AUACGGAGGGUGCAAGCGUUAAUCGGAAUUACUGGGCGUAAAGCGCGCGUAGGUGGUUUGUUAAGCUAGAUGUGAAAGCCCUGGGCUCAACCUGGGAACUGCAUUUAGAACUGGCAGGCUAGAGUACAGCAGAGGAUAGUGGAAUUUCUAGUGUAGCGGUGAAAUGCGUAGAUAUUAGAAGGAACACCAGUGGCGAAGGCGACUGUCUGGGCUGAUACUGACACUGAGGUGCGAAAGCGUGGGGAGCAAACGGGAUUAGAAACCCCGGUAGUCC
rnacentral:rRNA from 1 species